GGGGCAUUGACAACGCUGUGUAAUCGUCCACCAUGACCUCAAAUAUUUGGCCGCCAUAAGUGUACUCCACAUAUAAUUGCUUAGGUUCUCCAGGACAAGGAUCACAGAAGCCCAUGAUGCCCGACUUUUUUACACCCUCAUGAAGCUUCAAUUGCCCAGAAUCAUUAACCAGGAAAUUUAGAGGCACUGUAACAUCAAUGACUUCAGAAGCUAAUUCAUCAUUUACUUCUUUUAAUACUUCUCCUUUCUUCAAAGCUUUU
rnacentral:misc_RNA from 1 species